rnacentral:tRNA from 1 species
GCUCUCAUAGUUCAAUGGAUAGAACAUGGGUUUCCGGAACCUAAAAUGUGGGUUCGAUUCCUGCUGAGAGCACCA